ACACGACUACAUUAGAUACCCCCGUAGUCCUAGCCGUAAACGAUACUCGCUAGGCGUCGGCCACGGUGCGACCGUUGUCGGUGCCGUAGGGAAGCCGUGAAGCGAGCCACCUGGGAAGUACGGCCGCAAGGCUGAAACUUAAAGGAAUUGGCGGGGGAGCACAACAACGGGUGGAGCUUGCGGUUUAAUUGGAUUCAACGCCGGAAAUCUUACCGGGACCGACAGCAACAUGAAGGCCAAGCUGAAGACUUUGCCGGAUUAGCUG
rnacentral:rRNA from 1 species